UACGAAGGGGGAGAGCGUUGUCCGGAUUUAUUGGGCGUAAAGAGCGUGUAGGCGGCCGAGCAGGUCCGUUGUGAAAACUGAAGGCUCAACCUUCAGAGGUCGAUGGAAACCGUUCGGCUAGAGUCCGGAAGAGGAGAGUGGAAUUCCUGGUGUAGCGGUGAAAUGCGCAGAUAUCAGGAAGAACACCCGUGGCGAAAGCGGCUCUCUGGGACGGUACUGACGCUGAGACGCGAAAGCGUGGGGAGCUAACAGG
rnacentral:rRNA from 1 species